AAUGUUAACCAAGCUGGACUACAUUGAAAACCAGUGCAGGAGGACAGACUUUCUAAUUGACGGGAUUGCGGAUGAGAAAGGAGAGAAUUGGAAUGAAUCGGAGAAGAAGGUACGACAAAUGUUUUCAAGCAACCGGGGCCUGGACAGCACCAAGAUGGACAUUGAGCGUGCCCAGAGAAUUGGUCAGUUCCAGGAGGGGGUGAGGCCAAGGAAAAUGUAUGUAAAACUUCUGCGCAUUAAAGAUAGAGACAGCAUUCUCUCUUCUGCCAACAAAUUAAAGGGCACAAAAAUCUACAUAAAUGAGGGCUACUCAGAAGCAGUGCAACUGAGGAGGAAAGAGCUGUGGCCCAAAUUGAAAGCUGCCAGAGAAAGAGGUGACAAAGCCAACCUGAAGUAUGACAAGCAUCACCCCUUGAGAUGGACAAAGCCAAUCACUGGCUUAAAUAGGUUCAACGCUCAAUUAUUCUGAUUACGUCUCUGAUUUUAAACUAACCUUUUCAUUUAUUUUAUGGUACAAAGAAAACAACUACUUCUGUGGCAUUUAAUUUGCCAAAGAAGGGCUGGAUAUUAGCUCAUUCAAACAUUUGC
ensembl:lncRNA